rnacentral:rRNA from 1 species
AGAGUUUGAUCAUGGCUCAGAUUGAACGCUGGCGGCAGGCCUAACACAUGCAAGUCGAGCGGUAACACAGAGGAGCUUGCUCCUUGGGUGACGAGCGGCGGACGGGUGAGUAAUGCCUGGGGAUCUGCCCGAUAGAGGGGGAUAACUACGGGAAACUGUAGCUAAUACCGCAUAAUGUCUACGGACCAAAGUGGGGGCUCUUCGGACCUCAUGCUAUCGGAUGAACCCAGGUGGGAUUAGCUAGUUGGUGAGGUAAUGGCUCACCAAGGCGACGAUCUCUAACUGGUUUGAGAGAAUGACCAGUCACACUGGAACUGAGACACGGUCCAGACUCCUACGGGAGGCAGCAGUGGGGAAUAUUGCACAAUGGGCGCAAGCCUGAUGCAGCCAUGCCGCGUGUGUGAAGAAGGCCUUCGGGUUGUAAAGCACUUUCAGCGGGGAGGAAGGGUCACUAGUUAAUACCUAGUGGCAUUGACGUUACUCGCAGAAGAAGCACCGGCUAACUCCGUGCCAGCAGCCGCGGUAAUACGGAGGGUGCAAGCGUUAAUCGGAAUUACUGGGCGUAAAGCGCACGCAGGCGGUUUGUUAAGUCAGAUGUGAAAUCCCCGAGCUCAACUUGGGAACUGCAUUUGAAACUGGCAAGCUAGAGUCUUGUAGAGGGGGGUAGAAUUCCAGGUGUAGCGGUGAAAUGCAUAGAGAUCUGGAGGAAUACCGGUGGCGAAGGCGGCCCCCUGGACAAAGACUGACGCUCAGGUGCGAAAGCGUGGGGAGCAAACAGGAUUAGAUACCCCGGUAGUCCAA